CCUACGGGAGGCAGCAGUGAGGAAUAUUGGUCAAUGGGCGCGAGCCUGAACCAGCCAAGUCGCGUGAGGGAAGACGGUCCUAUGGAUUGUAAACCUCUUUUGUCGGGGAGCAAAAGACGCCACGCGUGGCGUUCCGAGAGUACCCGAAGAAAAAGCAUCGGCUAACUCCGUGCCAGCAGCCGCGGUAAUACGGAGGAUGCGAGCGUUAUCCGGAUUUAUGGGGUUUAAAGGGUGAGCAGGCGGAAGAUCAAGUCAGCGGUAAAAUCGAGAGGCUCAACCUCUUCGAGCCGUUGAAACUGGUUUUCUUGAUUGAGUGAUAAGUAUGCGGAAUUCGUGGUGUAGCGGUGAAAUGCAUAGAUAUCACGCAGAACUCCGAUUGCGAAGGCAGCAUACCGGCGCUCAACUGACGCUCAUGCACGAAAGUGUGGGUAUCGAACAGGAUUAGAUACCCCAGUAGUC
rnacentral:rRNA from 1 species